GAUUAAGUUAUUAAGGGCGCACGGUGGAUGCCUUGGCACUAGAAGCCGAUGAAGGACGUUACUAACGACGAUAUGCUUUGGGGAGCUGUAAGUAAGCUUUGAUCCAGAGAUUUCCGAAUGGGGAAACCCAGCAUGAGUUAUGUCAUGUUAUCGAUAUGUGAAUACAUAGCAUAUCAGAAGGCACACCCGGAGAACUGAAACAUCUUAGUACCCGGAGGAAGAGAAAGAAAAUUCGAUUCCCUUAGUAGCGGCGAGCGAAACGGGAAGAGCCCAAACCAACAAGCUUGCUUGUUGGGGUUGUAGGACACUCUAUACGGAGUUACAAAGGACGACAUUAGACGAAUCAUCUGGAAAGAUGAAUCAAAGAAGGUAAUAAUCCUGUAGUCGAAAAUGUUGUCUCUCUUGAGUGGAUCCUGAGUACGACGGAGCACGUGAAAUUCCGUCGGAAUCUGGGAGGACCAUCUCCUAAGGCUAAAUACUCUCUAGUGACCGAUAGUGAACCAGUACCGUGAGGGAAAGGUGAAAAGCACCCCGGAAGGGGAGUGAAAUAGAACCUGAAACCGUGUGCUUACAAGUAGUCAGAGCCCGUUAAUGGGUGAUGGCGUGCCUUUUGUAGAAUGAACCGGCGAGUUACGAUUUGAUGCAAGGUUAAGCAGUAAAUGUGGAGCCGUAGCGAAAGCGAGUCUGAAUAGGGCGUUUAGUAUUUGGUCGUAGACCCGAAACC
rnacentral:rRNA from 1 species